rnacentral:rRNA from 1 species
UAACACAUGCAAGUCGAGGAGCAGCAUGGUCUUAGCUUGCUAAGGCCGAUGGCGACCGGCGCACGGGUGAGUAACACGUAUCCAACCUGCCGUCUACUCUUGGACAGCCUUCUGAAAGGAAGAUUAAUACAAGAUGGCAUCAUGAGUCCGCAUGUUCACAUGAUUAAAGGUAUUCCGGUAGACGAUGGGGAUGCGUUCCAUUAGAUAGUAGGCGGGGUAACGGCCCACCUAGUCUUCGAUGGAUAGGGGUUCUGAGAGGAAGGUCCCCCACAUUGGAACUGAGACACGGUCCAAACUCCUACGGGAGGCAGCAGUGAGGAAUAUUGGUCAAUGGGCGAGAGCCUGAACCAGCCAAGUAGCGUGAAGGAUGACUGCCCUAUGGGUUGUAAACUUCUUUUAUAAAGGAAUAAAGUCGGGUAUGGAUACCCGUUUGCAUGUACUUUAUGAAUAAGGAUCGGCUAACUCCGUGCCAGCAGCCGCGGUAAUACGGAGGAUCCGAGCGUUAUCCGGAUUUAUUGGGUUUAAAGGGAGCGUAGAUGGAUGUUUAAGUCAGUUGUGAAAGUUUGCGGCUCAACCGUAAAAUUGCAGUUGAUACUGGAUAUCUUGAGUGCAGUUGAGGCAGGCGGAAUUCGUGGUGUAGCGGUGAAAUGCUUAGAUAUCACGAAGAACUCCGAUUGCGAAGGCAGCCUGCUAAGCUGCAACUGACAUUGAGGCUCGAAAGUGUGGGUAUCAAACAGGAUUAGAUACCCUGGUAGUCCACACGGUAAACGAUGAAUACUCGCUGUUUGCGAUAUACUGCAAGCGGCCAAGCGAAAGCGUUAAGUAUUCCACCUGGGGAGUACGCCGGCAACGGUGAAACUCAAAAGGAAUUGACGGGGGCCCGCACAAGCGGAGGAACAUGUGGUUUAAUUCGAUGAUACGCGAGGAACCUUACCCGGGCUUAAAUUGCAGAUGAAUUACGGUGAAAGCCGUAAGCCGCAAGGCAUCUGUGAAGGUGCUGCAUGGUUGUCGUCAGCUCGUGCCGUGAGGUGUCGGCUUAAGUGCCAUAACGAGCGCAACCCUUGUUGUCAGUUACUAACAGGUUCCGCUGAGGACUCUGACAAGACUGCCAUCGUAAGAUGUGAGGAAGGUGGGGAUGACGUCAAAUCAGCACGGCCCUUACGUCCGGGGCUACACACGUGUUACAAUGGGGGGUACAGAGGGCCGCUACCACGCGAGUGGAUGCCAAUCCCAAAAACCUCUCUCAGUUCGGACUGGAGUCUGCAACCCGACUCCACGAAGCUGGAUUCGCUAGUAAUCGCGCAUCAGCCACGGCGCGGUGAAUACGUUCCCGGGCCUUGUACACACCGCCCGUCAAGCCAUGGGAGCCGGGGGUACCUGAAGUGCGUAACCGCGAGGAGCGCCCUAGGGUAAAACUGGUGACUGGGGCUAAGUAA